GACGAACCGUGCGAACGUUAUUCGGAAUCACUGGGCGUAAAGGGCGCGUAGGUGGUGGCUUAAGCGUGCGGUGAAAGCUCGGGGCUCAACUCCGAGUCGGCCGUGCGAACUGGGCUCACUGGAGCAUAGUAGAGGCAGGUGGAAUUCCGGGUGUAGCGGUGGAAUGCGUAGAGAUCCGGAAGAACACCGGUGGCGAAGGCGGCCUGCUGGGCUAUGGCUGACACUGAGGCGCGACAGCGUGGGGAGCAAACAGG
rnacentral:rRNA from 1 species